UACAGAGGUCUCAAGCGUUGUUCGGAUUCAUUGGGCGUAAAGGGUGCGUAGGUGGCGCGGUAAGUCGGGUGUGAAAUUUCGGAGCUUAACUCCGAAACUGCAUUCGAUACUGCCGUGCUUGAGGACUGGAGAGGAGACUGGAAUUUACGGCGUAGCAGUGAAAUGCGUAGAGAUCGUAAGGAAGACCAGUGGCGAAGGCGGGUCUCUGGACAGUUCCUGACACUGAGGCACGAAGGCCAGGGGAGCAAACGGG
rnacentral:rRNA from 1 species